UGGUGGUUUCGGUGGCCUCCGUGUUAACAGCCGUCUACUCAUCCCUGUUCCCUACGCCGAUCCGGCUGAUGACUAUACUCUCUUAGUGGGAGACUUUUUCAACAAGGGACACACCAGCCUCAAGAAGAUUCUUGAUAGCGGUCGCAACCUUGGGAGAUGUGACGGUGUCCACCUUAAUGGGAAAGUUGCGAAAGGUGAUGGGAAGGAUGAACCUCUGUUUACGAUGGAGGCAGGCAAAACGUACAAGUACAGGAUUUGCAAUACGGGUAUCAAGACAUCUCUGAACGUCAGGUUCCAGGGCCACACCAUGAAAUUGGUUGAGAUGGAGGGUUCCCACACAAUGCAGAAUGACUAUGACUCCCUUGAUGUGCAUGUUGGACAGUGCUUCAGUGUGCUUGUUACUGCCAACCAGGAACCAAGGGAUUACUAUGUGGUGGCCUCUACCCGUUUUACCAGACGUGAGGUUACAGCAACCGGCAUCAUCCGUUACAAGAAUGGCAAGGGAGCUGCCUCAUCCGAGUUGCCACCACCACCUGUUGGUUGGGCUUGGUCACUCAAUCAAUUCCGUACCUUCCGUUGGAACUUGACUUCUAACGCUGCUAGGCCUAACCCUCAGGGCUCCUACAAAUAUGGUUCCAUUAACAUUACCCGCACCAUCAAGCUUGCCAACACUGCACAAAGAGUAGAUGGCAAGCUCCGAUAUGCUCUUAAUGGAGCCUCCUAUGUCGAAUCAACCACUCCACUAAAACUUGCAGAAUACUACGGCGUAGCCGACAAGGUUUUCAAGUAUGAUACCAUUCCCGAUGAGCCACCAAGUGACAACACUAAGGUAACUUUGGCACCUAUUGUCCUCAACAUGACACACAGAAACUUUGUGGAAAUCAUCUUCGAGAAUCCCGAGACCGCCAUUCAGUCUUACCACUUGUCUGGCUACUCAUUCUUUGCCGUGGGGUAAGUAUAGCUUCUAACGUAACAAAUACAUGUGGUGAUUUUAUUGCCUGAGUUGAAGUAAUAAGUUGUAUAAUGAUUUGUUGCAGCAUGGACAUUGGGAAAUGGAGCCCUGAGAAGAGGAUGAACUACAAUCUUCUCGACGCCGUGAGCAGACACACCAUACAGGUAUUCCCCAACUCCUGGUCAGCAAUCCUAUUGACAUUCGACAACUGCGGGAUGUGGAACCUGAGGUCGGAGAUAUGGGACAGGCAUUACCUUGGGCAACAGCUUUAUGCUAGUGUUAUUUCCCCUAACCGAUCCCUCAAGGAUGAGUACAACUUGCCGGAAGGUGUAUUGACUUGCGGCAUCGUGCAAGGCAUGCCAAGGCCUCCACCUUUCAGCAGUUAAUUUAAAUAAGCUUAAAAAUCUGUAUCCAAUUAUGGUAUAUGGGGAGAGAGAGGGUGAGAAAAGCUGAGUUCUGUACAAUAUGUAAUGAAAUAAAAGCUUUUGGACCACUUUAUUGUUACUAAUUUUCGUGUGUUGCCCUCGAAUAUACACACAAUAUUUAAGUUAUUUUCAAUAUAAAAAAAACAGAUAUUUUCAAAAUUGUACAAUAUUUAAAGAUGAAUGAUUUAAACAUGGUUUAUACUACUAAUUAGUUUGAUAUGUUCAAAAUUGAUAUAAAUAAAUAAUUAAGUUAUAUUAACAAAGAAAUUUAAAAUAAAUAAUCUAUAUAUAUAUUUUUUGUUGAUAUACUUCUGCUUGGAACAUUGAUCUUCAUCAAUAUAAAUAAAUCAUUCUACUAUGGCGGUUCAACUUUUUGUUUAUUUUUAUUCAUUUAUUUUUGUAAAUUUCAAAAAAAAGUUAAGUCAUUGUGUACAAUUUAUACUUAAUUAAGUCCCUAUCAUUAAUUAAAAUAAUCAAUUAAGCCACGUAAAAUAAAUUGAUGGAGCAAUAGAUAGAGAUAGUAAUAGCUUCUAGAUUAAUCUAUUAUUUUUCCUAUAAAAAUAUUAAAAAAUUAAAAAAAUAUUAUCAAAAAUAUAAAUAUUAUUAAAUAUUAAAAAAAUAAAAUUGGUAUAAACUUAUAAAUUUUAAAAAAUUCUAAAAUUAAUAAAAAUAUAUUUAAAAUUUUAUAAAAAACAUUACAACUCUAUAAAAAUAAUAAAAAAUAUUAGAAGUAUUAAAUUUGAUAUAAAAUAAUAAUAACUUGAUUUGGGUUGGAUUAGUCAGUUGGACCGGUUAGACCAAAAUCGACAAGGAUAUCGAUCUAGAGAAAGCCAUUAGGCCAGUUGACAUUAGAACCGGAUGGUUGAACCGAUUCUUUAUCUUUUUAAUAUAUAUAUUUUAUUUCUUAAUGUUUUAUUUAAUUAAACUAGACGGAUCAGUGGAAGUGGUAAACCGAUGGCUUAAUUUAAAUUUUUUUGGAAAAGAUAUUAGAUUAAACUAUAAGCUACCACGUCUCAUCAUCUAAUUGGCCUACCAAUUUUUUUUAACAGUCAAUGUAAUCAAUUUCGAACAUCGUUAAAUAUUUUAAUUAAUGCCAAGAAUUUAAUUGGGUGCGAAUUUAAUAUAUGGAUAGACUUUUUGACAUAUAAACCUAUUAAAAAUAAGGUUAUUAUAUAUUAUCUCCCAAUAAUUACAUGGAAUAUUUGAAAUUCAAGCACUCCCUAGAUGACUUUGCUUGGAAACUAGCAUAAUUUAAGUUACUCUUCGCACGAAGAUGGACAAAUUGUGGAUGAUUAAGAAAUUGAAUAGUCUGCUAUGUUUGAAUAUGCUACUAUCUCGUUCUAAUAAUUGAAUUAUUUGAACAAAGUUGAGAAACAAGACCGGAACGUCAAGAAUCCAAGGACGAAUAAUGAAUUUGGUUUGUGAUCUCGUGUCAUAACUCAUUAAGUAGCUAAGUUUAAUGAAUUGAUAUUGAUGAAUGUUCUCAUAAAAGGCAUGUUAGCUUAAUUGACUUUGAUGGCAAUGGUUGUGAUGAUAUUCAUAUGUGUAUAUAUAUUUGUGAUGUGGAUUACGAUCAUGAAAAUAUUAUGAAAGGGAUUAAAGAUAUGUAAAUUUAUGUUUAAGGAUGUUAAGAAUGAGGACUAUUUUAGUAUUUUGGUGUAUUGAGCGUUAGGACAUAUCACUAACUUUAAUUCUUUGUUGGGUUAUUAAGUAAUUCAAUAUAUUAAUUUUUGCGUAUUCUCCAUUGAAUCUGAAAUCGAUUAAUAGGAACUAAAAUAUAAGUGUAUUAUGUGUCUAAGAUACAUAAGUGGUAUAUGAUUGAAAUCGAUUAAAAGGGACUAAAAUAUAAGUAUUAUGUGACUUAUGCUUAAGUUAUAAGAGACUCUGUAAGUCUUAGGAUGAUUUGAGAAAUAAGAUGACAUGUUUAAAUGGUAUCAAUUGUCUUUUUAUACCUUAAUGUCCGAUUUUCGUAUAUCUCAGAAUUUUCUCACUCGAAUCAAUUCGACUUUGUAACCAUACUCUAAGGCCUCAAACUAUCAAUAAAAUACCAUUUUUGUCCAAAGUUCUCAACAAUCUCAUUCAAGCUCUCAAGAACUCAUCAAUGGCUAUAUUAUCUAUGUCUAAUCAAGUCUUGUUUCUACACAUCCCACUUCAUUUCUAGCAUGUUUUCCACAAAGUUGAAGCUUAACACUAGAUAUUCAUGGAUUCAGGUUUUCAUUCUCUAAGUUCUCUAAUGCUUAGGCUAUGUUCAUCAAAGUAUCACAAACUAAGAUUUUAACAAAUUCAAGUGAAAAGUUCACCUUCCUUAGUAAUUUGAUGGACGAUAAUGGAAGAGUAACCUAAAGAAUUUCUUUCUUUCUUUUGCUUCUCUCACCAAUUGAACACACACACACACACAUAUAUAUAUACAUAAUUAAUCUAAUUACUCAUUAAUCUAAUGGCUGCAAUUGAGCUUAAAGAAUGGUCAAUAGAAAUGAAUGGCAAGGAUCAACGCAAGCCACUAACUAAGAAUAAAUCUUGGUUUAACAGUACUUAGGUUCUUGGCAUAAUUACCACUGACAAAUUUGUUUAAUUCUUAAAUCAAUUCUCUUUAUUUUAUUCACCUCACAAUUAGUCUUUGAUCAAUAAUUACUAUUCUUUCAAUCUAGUCCUUGUACUUAAUAAUUUAUCUAAUUUAAUCCCUUAAUAAUUCUAAUUUCUAAUUUCAUGUUCAUCUUGUAAAUGUCUUGAUUUAAGAUUUUUGGACUAGUUCGGCUUCGAGAAUUCAGCCCUGAAAUUGAAAUUUUUGACCCCAGUGAAAAUCAGAAUGUUAUAUGCAAACUGCUCAACAUCCUGCAAGGUCUCCAUAAUGGAUUUCUUCAUAUUUGUGUCAUUGUUGCUCAUGUCUGAUCCACCCCUGGUAUUCACUUCAACUGUAACAAUGGUCAUAUUCGUUGCCAUGAGUGAUGUGGAAAAAUUUGUUAAUAUUUCGUUAAGUAAUUUGAAAUGGAUCAUGAGUAAUUUGGUGGAAAGAGUUAAUAAAAUAAUUUCUCCACAUUUUGGGUGUUCAAAAUUUAAUUUAUUAUAAAAUCUCUUGUAGAUGAUGUCACAAAUGAAUUUGUCAUGUAUGCCUAAACUCUUGCAAAAAAAAAAAGAACUAAUUAUUUUUUUUUUCAAAUUAUUUUUUUGUGUCAUAAUUUAAGUUUUCAUAUAAGAAGGUUGGUUUCACUUUAAUACAAUUUCUAUUUUUAAAAAUUACAAUAGUUUAUCUAUAUUUAUAAUAAAAGAAUAACUAAAAAGGUAAAAGAAAAAAACUAGAGUAUUUUUCAUAGAAGCAACUACUUUCCUAAAGAAAAGGUUAGCCAUCCAUAGAGUGAAUAUUCAAAUCCUUGUGAUAACAGAGAACAAUGAUUCAAAAUUGUAAAACCAAAAAUGGAUUAGUGCUAAAAGCAAGGAAAUAAAUGAAUGGAUGAGCUUCUUCUAAGGGAUUAAGAUGGAAGAAUGGAAGAGGGGAUUGUGUGGUAUAAAAGGAGAGGUAUGCAUGCAAUUCAAAAUCAACUCAAGCAAACCAUCUUCCUCUUCCUCUAGAAGGGGAUAAUUAAUAAAUUACUGUCGGGCGAAAAAAAAGGGUAAGAGAUGGCUCGAUUAAUGUUAAUAUCGAUGCUAUUUCUCUUGGCAGGAUCAAUGCUUAUGGUCCAGGGCGGAGAUCCCACCCUUUUUUUCGAAUGGAACGUCACCUAUGGCACCAUUGCUCCCUUGGGAGUGCCAGUAAAGGGUAUUCUUAUUAACGGGCAAUUCCCGGGACCAAAUCUUAACUCUACCACCAACAACAAUAUCGUGGUCAAUGUGUUCAAUAACCUUGAUGAGCCAUUCCUUGUAACAUGGUAAGCGACUACCAAGAGUAGUUUCUUUUUUACAUUAAUAUGAUUAUGCUAGUGAAGAGUCGAGCUAAUUAUCUGUGGAAAUGGGAUUUGUUGCAGGGACGGCGUGCAGCAUAGGAAGAACUCUUGGCAAGAUGGUGUUCUGGGAACCAACUGUCCUAUCCCCCCUGGGAAGAAUUACACCUAUAAAUUCCAGGUGAAGGAUCAGAUUGGCAGCUACAUGUACUAUCCGGUGACGGCUAUGCACAAGGCGGUUGGUGGUUUCGGUGGCCUCCGUGUUAACAGCCGUCUACUCAUCCCUGUUCCCUACGCUGAUCCGGCUGAUGACUAUACUCUCUUAGUGGGAGACUUUUUCAACAAGGGACACACCAGCCUCAAGAAGAUUCUUGAUAGCGGUCGCAACCUUGGGAGAUGUGACGGUGUCCACCUUAAUGGGAAAGUUGCGAAAGGUGAUGGGAAGGAUGAACCUCUGUUUACGAUGGAGGCAGGCAAAACGUACAAGUACAGGAUUUGCAAUACGGGUAUCAAGACAUCUCUGAACGUCAGGUUCCAGGGCCACACCAUGAAAUUGGUUGAGAUGGAGGGUUCCCACACAAUGCAGAAUGACUAUGACUCCCUUGAUGUGCAUGUUGGACAGUG
rnacentral:lncRNA from 1 species